rnacentral:tRNA from 1 species
GGCUCUGGGGUGUAACACGUAGGGUUGCAAACCCUAAGACGCAGAUAAUACCUGCCGGGGCUU